GCCGUCGUAGCCCAAUUGGCAGGAGGCACCAGUCUUAGGAACUGGACAGUGGGGGUUCGAGUCCGCCCGGCGGUAC
rnacentral:tRNA from 4 species